rnacentral:rRNA from 1 species
AGCUCCAAUAGCGUAUAUUAAAGUUGUUGCGGUUAAAAAGCUCGUAGUUGGAUUUCUGCCGAGGACGACCGGUCCGCCCGCUGGGUGAGUAUCUGGCUCGACCUGGGCAUCUUCUUGGAGAACGUAGCUGCACUUGACUGUGUGGGGCGGUAUCCAGGACUUUUACUUUGAGGAAAUUAGAGUGUUUCAAGCAGGCCCACGCCUUGAAUACAUUAGCAUGGAAUAAUAAGAUAGGACUUGGGUCUAUUUUGUUGGUUUGCAGACCGAAGUAAUGAUUAAUAGGGAUAGUUGGGGGUAUUUAUAUUCCGAUGUCAGAGGUGAAAUUCUUAG